rnacentral:rRNA from 1 species
AAGCGCCUGUGACCAGACUUGCGCCCUACGGACCACCCAGCGUUCUCGCUGGUGCACUCUGCAGGGCGCAGGCCAGCAUCGGUUCUCCCAGGGGGAUAAAGGCCGCAGGAACGUAGCUCUUUCGGGAGUGUUAUAGCCUGUGGUGCCAUGCCUCUGAGGGGACCGAGGACCGCGCUUCGGCAAGGAUGCUGGCGUAAUGGUCACUAGCGA